UGGGUCAGCGCUGCGGCCCGCGAAGGGAGCCCGGCCUGAGGGCAGCGGCGGGCACUUGGGGGCCACCCCGCCCCGGGCAGCGCCCGCCGGCUCUCGGCUCAGUCUGGCUCAUUCCUCCCGGCCGCCGCCUCGUGCUCCGGAGCUGGGGACCCGGGGGCGGGCAGGAGAGGCCUCGCUCACCCAGGACCUGCUCGGGGACCCUGCCCGCGUUGGUGAUCGAUCGUCGAGUCCCUAUCACAGGCCUCCUUGGGGUGAGGAAACAGCUGGGGACCAAGGAAAACUCGAGAUCCCAACCGGCAGAUUCGCCCUCCACCCCAGGGCUGCGUCCCUGCUUGCAGCCUGUGCCUGGACUCCACUUCCAGGCCGACUGGUGAGCGCCCAGGGUCCCGGAGAACGCCUGGGGUACCAGCGGCAGGUCGUGGACUCGGGUGGAGGGGGAUGCCCAGCCCCCCAUGACCGUACAGCCGCCACAGGCCACCUGCAGCUCAGACAUCUGACUGCGAGUCCGUGGGUCACGAGUCAAAUCCUUUUCACCUGCCCUAAUCAAGGUCAGUUAAGACUUGCGUGUCCACCAGGCAGCACGGAGCCUAAGCAAUAAGCUGUUUGCCCGGGUUGUUUCUCAGCAACUUGGAAUCAGCUGCGUCCAGUUGGAGCUGAACUGGUUGGGGCCGGAUGGGACCACCGAUUCCCGAGCCGGGCCUGCGCGAGGGCCCGCCCAGCGCCCUUUAGACCGUGCAGCGGCCUGUAGCCCAGCUACACCUGCGCCUGCGCAGAAGGAGUCCCGCAGCUUUCUCCAAUCAUCACCUUUCCCCGCGCUCCCCACGCCUCAGGUGGCCCUGCUUCUUUAUUCGUUAUCGCGUAAAUACCCCGAGCCUCUUCCCUUCCGGGACGCCAGAGCUGAGGUUUGCCCUCCUCUCUCCUGGCUUGGCCGCCUCGCCGACAGACCCGGGCGUCUCGGCGUUUGGCUUGCUGUGCAGCAGCCCAGAGGAGCCAGGUUGGGUACCAACUGCACAGGGACACUGCAGCUCGGGACCGCUGACUCUGCGCCACCUCUACCAGUUUGCGGUUUUGGAAGCAUCAGAUAAAUUGCUCCUUCAAAAGUCUGGAGGACACUGGGAAAUGGAAGAGACCGGAGGCCCAGAGGCAACUAGAAGCCUGUUCAGAUUUCCGGGAGGGACAGGAAUCCGCCGACGGUGACGGGGAUGGAGCAGCGUGAACGUCCGUGCAGCCAAGUGAACGAAGCAGGGUGUAAGAAGGAGGGCCAUAUUCUGAAUACUCUGCGAUCAAGAUUUUGUUCCAACUUAUGAAACUCUUCUGUACUUCUGGGAUUUUACAGAUUUGAAAUUAUUUCAUAUCAGCCCUCAUUCCACCUGUUGUACGUGAGGAGAAAAGGUCAGUUCUACAGGUAAGUAUCCCUAAGUUUGCUUAGGUACAAAAGUAUGAGCUAAAAUGUACACACAGUUUGAGAUGCAGUUUGUAAAAAUGCAAGUGCGUGCCGGCAUGUGGUACAUCUGAACAAAACUGCUGUUCGGGUGUAUUUUAAGGAGCUCAACAGAUGAAUGUUUCCAGUGGACAAUCAGCGUAUCAAUCACUCGUGUUGAGAGAGGGUGCAGGUGUACCCACACGGCAGCGGCUGGGUCACUGGGAAGUUGCCACAGGUCAAGGCUUUUGAGACGGCACAGGUCAGGUUGAAGGUGUUGAGCCUCACUUUAAAAUCGUGAAGUCGUGGGCGAUUUCCAUCCCAUUGGUAGGAGUAACUCCAUGAGUUGGGAGAACACCUGAAGUAAUGAUGUUUUCAGUGUGUAUAACCAACGUCAGAGCCUUGCGGGAAUGCUGAGAAUUCCUGGGAUGGGGAGUUCACUAACUUUCUUAAUACACAUGCUCCACUUAAACUGUGUUUAAGAAUUAAACUGUAGAGACUGUGCAAUUGGUGAGUAGACUUGGGAGUAGAUCACAACUCCUUCUAGGAAGACAUCUCAGACAUUGCUAUGGAGGCAAAUCCAGUGUUUCAGGAACACACCUGACGAGCCGUGAUGUGAGGGCAGUGCUGAACCUCUCUGUGACAGUAUCGUUCUUGAAUAUAUUAAUAAAUGUGGUAUAUUAUAUAUUCAUGUUAGUAAUUACUGAUAAGGUGGUAGUCUCCAGUAUGCUUCUGUACCUACAGCCCAACAGGACGUGUAUUAGAACCAUGCCUGGAAUAGAAGCGGGAUAUGUGUGUAUAUAUAUAUGGUUUCUGCGGUAUUAACGAUUCUGGCUGGUUGGCGCCUGCCUGUUGGUAGUAAUUGCUAAAUACCCUGACUGUGCCUCUGCCCAGGAGUUUAUUCAUUACCUUGACAGAAAUGGCUGCCUUCCAGAAAUG